GUAGGGAAUAUUGCACAAUGGAGGAAACUCUGAUGCAGCGACGCCGCGUGAGUGAUGAAGGCCUUCGGGUCGUAAAGCUCUGUCGCAGGGGAAUAACACAAUGAAGGUACCCUGUAAGAAAGGAUCGGCUAACUUCGUGCCAGCAGCCGCGGUAAGACGAGGGAUCCUAGCGUUGUUCGGAAUUAUUGGGCGUAAAGCGGAUGUAGGUGGCUAUGUAAGUCAGAUGUGAAAGCCUGGGGCUCAACCCCAGAAGUGCAUUUGAUACUGCGUAGCUUGAGUGUCGGAGAGGUUACUAGAAUUGUUGGUGUAGUGGUGAAAUACGUAGAUAUCAACAGGAAUACCGGAGGCGAAGGCGGGUAACUGGCCGAACACUGACACUGAGAUCCGAAAGCGUGGGGAUCAAACAGGAUUAGAUACCCUAGUAGUCC
rnacentral:rRNA from 1 species